AACGCACAUUGCGCCCUCUGGCAUUCCGGAGGGCACACCUGUUCGAGCGCCGUAGUACUACUAAGGCUCAGCCUUGCGUUGGUCUGCGUCCCUGCUUUGCAGGAGACUGGGCCGAAACUCUUGUGGCGCCGUUACAGCGGCCGGCUAUGCGCAAAAGCAGAAGCCAGUCGUGUUGACAGCCGCCUGUUUUUACAGCACGCUUGGCCUCGGAUCAGGUGGGGAUACCCGCUGAACUUAA
rnacentral:misc_RNA from 1 species